UCGUAUAUUUAAGGUCUUUCCUCUCCGCGAGGAAAGACCUUAUUGUUUUUCUAAUGUUUUUUUUUCUUUUUUUUCUUCCAGCAUUUGUUUGGCUCGCCCUCCUACCGCUUCUAUUGGAGUUAUCAAUACCAAAAUUAAACCAUCGAUAGACCUCAACAUGAACUUUUACCAGAUGAACUUUUGUAGGAUUUCACCUUCCCUUUAAGAAGUUAUCUCCCUUUUAUUGAUUUUUUUCAACAUGGUCCCCCCAAAAUGUGUUAAAAGAUAUCAUGACUUUAUUUGGACAAUAGGUAGAUCUCAUCAUGAUGUAUUACCAUAUGAGGCUGCAUAGGAUUUCAUCAUCUACUUUGAGAGUUAUAUCCCCUUGAAGCAAUUUCUUUUAUUUGCAUUUUUUUCAAAAAGUAUUAGAGAUAGAAUUUAAUUGAAAAUGACAGCAUGUAUUAGAACAGAUGGCAAUGUUUAUAAACAUAAACAAUUAAUUUGUUAUUAACCCUUAUAAGGAGUUAUUUCCCUUUAAAAAUUAAAAAUAUUUUUUCAAAAAUUUAUAUUCGAGAACCGGAAGUCAUAGAGACUUGUAACCUUCACCAAUAAUCUUAAAUUCAUAUGACCUUUAAUAUGCACCCAAGGUCAAAGGUCACCGAGUGCAAAAAAAAAUUACGCUGCAAUUUCAAGCUUACAUAUUAGGAAAACGAUAAGACUUUGCUGCAUACAUACAGCGCAUAAAAUGUUCUUCUCGACGAGCUCUACAUUUUAUACUAUAAGCCCAAAAAUGUCCGACCGUCUGUUCAAAAGUUACAACGGGAUGAUUCUUAAAAAUAUAGUAUUGUGUGUAUAUCUUUUUAAAUGUAACAGAUAUCAACCUACUAUAAAGUGCAAAGAUGAUCAGUAAUUCAAGACCUUCAAUUUGAGGUCAAUGUCAGGUCAUGAUGAAAUUUCACCUUGACCUUCACAUUAUAUACAAUGACCUUGACCUUGUGAUAGUUGAAAGGUUAAGUGGUCCUGAGUUGAAUGGUGCUAGUCCCAUGUCUCUACGACUUCCGGUUCUUAAGUUUAGUAUUGCAUCAUAUAUUUGAUGAUUAAUUGUGACCUUGGUGAACUUUGAAAUUGUCCCAAUUCUUUUUCUAUAAUGUUGUCCUUCAACUGUAGAUCAUUUAUCAUUUAACAGAUUUGAGAUAUCUAUUGUCGUUUUAGAGAUAAUGCAGUUUGAAGUUUUGCGAGCGGAGGCAUGUAUUUCUGAAUCAACAAGAGCUUACCACUUUAAAUGUUUUAGAAAUUGAAGAGGUUAAUAUAGUUAUAUGUUUGCCCAAAUACCAAAAACAUUCCAUGGAAAAUAACGCCAAAAAUUCAAUUUGAAAUUUUCAAGUUUUGCAUUGACUUUGUAAGUUUCAUAACUUCUAUUUAUAUAGUUGAUAUUGCAUCAUUAUUUGCACUUUGUCAAAUGGGGUCAUCUGAUAUAUCAAAUUGAAGGUCUUAAUAAACUCUACUUAAAAAUGAAAAUUUUAAACCCCUUUUCAUCCCAGGGGGGACGGGUGGGGUCAUUUAGUGCAAACAUUCAAAUUUCUCAGAUGGUAAGGUUGUCGCAUAUCAAAUGAAAGAACAUAAAGCGUACAUUUCAAAUUUCAAAUUGACGUCUCCCAAAAAUGGGUUGGAUGGGGUCAUUGAGUGCAAAAACUAAAUUUUCUUUUAAGAUAGGGUUGUUGUAUAUCAAAUGAAAGGUCAUGAUGUGUACAUUUGAAAUAUCAAAUUCCCGACCUCCAAAAAUUAGUUGGAUAGGGUUAUUAAGUGCAAAAAUCAAACUUUCUAGAACAUGGCGUUGUCGCAUAUCAAAUGAAAGCUCAUCUACUCUAUGUUACAUAUAUCAUACUUCCGAUCUCAAAAAUGUAGCCGGAUGAGGUCAUUAAGUGUUAAAAGCAAAAAGUUUCAGAAGGUAUGCUUGUCGUAUAUAAAACGAAAGGUCGUACAAAGUACAUUACGAAAACAUCAAUUUUACAGGAAAGACCUUUCAAUUGUUUUACAAACAAUUGAGAUACUAGUUUUUCUAAUGUUUUUUUUUUUUCUUUUUCUUUUUUUUCUUUUUUUUCUUCCAACAUUUUUUUGACAUGCCCGCCUCUUGUUUCUGUUGAAGUUAUUAAGACCAAAUAUAGACCAUCGCUAGACCUCACCAAGACGUAUUACCAAAUUACUCUGUUAAGGAUUUCAUCAUCCCCUUUAGAAGUUAUCUCCCUUUUAUUGAUUUUUUUUCAACAUGGCCCCCCCUCGUUGGUUUUAAAGAUAUCAUGAC
rnacentral:lncRNA from 1 species